AUACCUUUCUCGGCCUUUUGGCUAAGAUGAAGUGUAGUAUCUGUUCUUAUCAGUUUAAUAUCUGAUAUGUGGGCCAUCGGCUCACUCGAUAUUAAUCUUAUUUUUUAUGAGGAAAGGCCCAUUAGUGUCGCCUUGGUCUUGCACUACUACCUUGGCUUGGCGCACCCCUC
rnacentral:snRNA from 1 species